UGCAAGUCGAACGGUGAAGCCCAGCUUGCUGGGUGGAUCAGUGGCGAACGGGUGAGUAACACGUGAGCAACCUGCCCCUGACUCUGGGAUAAGCGCUGGAAACGGCGUCUAAUACUGGAUACGAACCACGAAGGCAUCUUCAGUGGUUGGAAAGAUUUAUUGGUUGGGGAUGGGCUCGCGGCCUAUCAGCUUGUUGGUGAGGUAAUGGCUCACCAAGGCGUCGACGGGUAGCCGGCCUGAGAGGGUGACCGGCCACACUGGGACUGAGACACGGCCCAGACUCCUACGGGAGGCAGCAGUGGGGAAUAUUGCACAAUGGGCGCAAGCCUGAUGCAGCAACGCCGCGUGAGGGAUGACGGCCUUCGGGUUGUAAACCUCUUUUAGCAGGGAAGAAGCGAAAGUGACGGUACCUGCAGAAAAAGCGCCGGCUAACUACGUGCCAGCAGCCGCGGUAAUACGUAGGGCGCAAGCGUUAUCCGGAAUUAUUGGGCGUAAAGAGCUCGUAGGCGGUUUGUCGCGUCUGCUGUGAAAUCCGGAGGCUCAACCUCCGGCCUGCAGUGGGUACGGGCAGACUAGAGUGCGGUAGGGGAGAUUGGAAUUCCUGGUGUAGCGGUGGAAUGCGCAGAUAUCAGGAGGAACACCGAUGGCGAAGGCAGA
rnacentral:rRNA from 1 species